UACGAAGGGUGCAAGCGUUACUCGGAAUUACUGGGCGUAAAGCGUGCGUAGGUGGUUUGUUAAGUCUGAUGUGAAAGCCCUGGGCUCAACCUGGGAAUUGCAUUGGAUACUGGCAGGCUAGAGUGCGGUAGAGGGUAGUGGAAUUCCCGGUGUAGCAGUGAAAUGCGUAGAGAUCGGGAGGAACACCAGUGGCGAAGGCGACUACCCGGACCAGCACUGACACUGAGGCACGAAAGCGUGGGGAGCAAACAGG
rnacentral:rRNA from 1 species